AACGCUGGCGGCAGGGCUUAACACAUGCAAGUCGAGCGCCCCCGCAAAGGGGAGCGGCAGACGGGUGAGUAACGCGUGGGAACGUACCCUUCGGUUCGGAAUAACUCAGGGAAACUUGAGCUAAUACCGGAUACGUCCGAGAGGAGAAAGAUUUAUCGCCGAAGGAUCGGCCCGCGUUGGAUUAGCUAGUUGGUGGGGUAAUGGCCUACCAAGGCGACGAUCCAUAGCUGGUCUGAGAGGAUGAUCAGCCACACUGGGACUGAGACACGGCCCAGACUCCUACGGGAGGCAGCAGUGGGGAAUAUUGGACAAUGGGCGAAAGCCUGAUCCAGCCAUGCCGCGUGAGUGAUGAAGGCCCUAGGGUUGUAAAGCUCUUUCAGUGGGGAAGAUAAUGACGGUACCCACAGAAGAAGCCCCGGCUAACUUCGUG
rnacentral:rRNA from 1 species